rnacentral:rRNA from 1 species
GUGGGGAAUCUUGCGCAAUGGGCGAAAGCCUGACGCAGCAACGCCGCGUGCGGGAUGAAGGCCUUCGGGUUGUAAACCGCUUUCAGCAGGGACGAAAAUGACGGUACCUGCAGAAGAAGCUCCGGCUAACUACGUGCCAGCAGCCGCGGUAAUACGUAGGGAGCAAGCGUUGUCCGGAUUUAUUGGGCGUAAAGAGCUCGUAGGCGGUUUCGUAAGUCGAGUGUGAAAAAUCUGGGCUUAACCCAGUGGAGCACUCGAUACUGCGAUGACUUGAGUCUGGUAGAGGAGUGUGGAAUUCCUGGUGUAGCGGUGAAAUGCGCAGAUAUCAGGAGGAACACCAACGGCGAAGGCAGCACUCUGGGCCAGUACUGACGCUGAGGAGCGAAAGCGUGGGGAGCAAACAGGAUUAGAUACCCCGGUAGUCC